GUGGUUAAUUUAUACUCCCCUUUAUAUCCUACCUUCCUAACUUCUCAUCUAACUGGGUCCUAACCUGGGUGGGCCGCAACUCACCCGUCAUACGAAGCAUGUCCGUCUUUUUAAAUACAUUUUUAUAUUUUUCCGAGGGGUCGAUCUUAAAAUAAAAAUGUAUUAACCACUAAACAAACGAACUAUUUUAUAUAUUUAUUAUCUCCGUAUAUCUUUGUGGGAUACCCUGUGUCUACCUGUGAAUUGAAAC